UUUUUCCUCAAAUUUUUUUUUCCUCAAAAAGUGUUUUCAAAUUUUUUUUUCGUUUCCUUAUUCGGUUUCUUUUUCCUUAUUCGAUUUUCAUUUCCUUAUACAGUUUCUAUUUCCUUAUUCGAUUUCCAUUUCCUUAUUCGAUUUUCAUUUCCUUAUUCGGUUUCUUUUUCCUUUUUCAAUGUUCAUUUCCUUUUUCGGUUUCUAUUUCCUUAUUGGAUUUUCUUUUCCUUAUUCGAUUUCCAUUUCCUUAUUCAAUUUCCAUUUCCUUAUUCGGUUUCUUUUUCCUUUUUCAAUGUUCAUUUCCUUUUUCGGUUUCUAUUUCCUUAUUGGGUUUCUAUUUCCUUAUUGGGUUUCUAUUUCCUUAUUGGGUUUCUAUUUCCUUAUUGGAUUUUCGUUUCCUUAUUCGAUUUCCAUUUCCUUAUUCGAUUUCCAUUUCCUAAUUCGGUUUCUUUUUCCUUUUUCAAUAUUCAUUUUUUUUUUCGUUUCUAUUUCUUAUUCGGUUUCUAUUUCCUUAUUCAGUUUCCAUUUCCUUAUUGGAUUUUCAUUUCCUUAUUGGAUUUUCAUUUCCUUAUUCGGUUUCUUUUUCCUUAUUCAGUUUCUAUUUCCUUAUUCAGUUUCCAUUUCCUUAUUGGAUUUUCAUUUCCUUAUUGGACUUUCAUUUCCUUAUUCGAUUUCCUUUUUCGAUAUUCAAAUUUUGAAAAUAUUACAAGUCCAAACUGAUUUUUUUUUUUCCUUCAAAAUUUUUUU
rnacentral:lncRNA from 1 species